UCAUUUAUUAAUAAGAUCUCCUUUUAAUUCAAUUUCGACCCCAAUAAAUAAAUGAUAUAUUAAUGUGGACAAGGAUAUUGACACAAACAAGUAUCAAUGAAGUAGCAUCUUCCAAAUGCCAAACUCCCAUGCCUUUUCAUACACUCAUCCAUACAUUUUGCCCUCUCACAUAUAUCCAAUCCCUUUUCAGGACGUUCCUCUUUGCAUAUUUUUGCCUUAACCUCAAUAUUACCUGCAUUAACAACUAUCAUUUAAUUAAAAUACAUUUAUUAUAGUUUUCACCCCUCAAGUUUGGACAUGUUUCAUAUUUGGUUGCCCAUGUAAAAAACAAAAAAACAAUUAAGGGCAGUGAUGGUGACAUGUUUGAUUCCAAUUGUACUAACGGUAAAUUGACGGAAAUGACUAAAAAUGGGUAAUUUUUGAAACACGAAGGACCAAAUAUGUUUUUUUAUGAACUUGAGGGACCAAAUGUGAAAUUAGUACAAAGUUGAGAGAUGAAAACUAUAUUUUUCCCCUCUUGAAUAUGGAUCUUCCACACGCUAUAGAAAAUAAUGGCAUGAUCAUAUCACACAUUCGAUAACCAUGCGAUGAAAUUGAUGUGUGUUGGAAUGUGUAUUCCGAAGUUUUUGAAACGGAAUCGAAAAAAAAAAACAAAAAAAAACAAGCACAAAAAAAAGAAGUUGAAGAUUAUUUAUUACCUAGAAGUAUAAGUAGAAGGAAAACAGGCAAGACAAAAUGCUUCAUUGUUGUGAUUUACUUGUGUUCUAGUCUCUAGAUGUCUGCAGAUGAGAAAAGAUAUUU
rnacentral:lncRNA from 1 species